AGAGAGCCUGUCCUUAGAGAGGCACUAUUGCUUUGGGACUGUGAGCAUAUAUUUGCCAACCAGUCAGCCUGGAUUGAACUAGUUACUUAGCCUCUUUGUGUCUCAUUUUUCUCCUCUGUAAAAUGAUGAAAAUAAUCAUAUCUAGUCCUUGGGGCCUUUGGUGCAGAUUAAUUAAACUAGCUAUGGUGAUGAUGAGGAUGGAAGUCACGUGUCCGUUCUUCAUCUCCACAUGUGGUCUGCACAUCCUAAAACCGCAGAGCUGGUUUCCUUCAUUCAACAUCUACCUGGGCCUUCAGCAAUCUCGGGAGCAAUUUUCCUCGCCUAGAACACCGCCCUCGGGAAGCUGGCAGGGAUCGGCUGCCUGUCGGCGCCAGGUGAAUCCUGGUUCCGAGCUGCGUCACCAGCUAGAGAGAAAUGUGCCUGCUGAACAUUUAAAAAUCACAUUUGGAAAAGUAGACCCUUUAUGCAAAAGAACAGACACUGAGAGAAACAGCAACAGAGAUGGAUGGAUUAAAAAUGGCAAGUUCUAUCAUCGCUACCCUUCCCCCUACAUUUUUCUCUCUUUUCAGGAUUCUGAUGGUGCCUGUUGGCUGCUUCCGUGAUGUCUGGAGUUGCAAAAUGUGCCAGAAAGCAGGAGGAUACACCGCCAUUCAGAGAGGAUUUUCUUAGGGACUUGAAGAAAUUGACCUUGAAAUUUCAGUAGAUGAGAGGGCUGUGGCUGGCCUGUGUCUUUGGCACUGGGUACAUUCUGUCAUUCUUGUUGUACCUACAUAAGAGAAUUUAGCUCUGGUUUCUCCCUGACUGAUUCCAGAGGAGGUAAAUGGGUAGAUCCUUAACACAUGUGUGCCAGAAGGGACCUUAGAGGGCAUGUAGCACAACCUUGCCACGUGAGAAGCAGGAUUACCUACUGGUUGGGAGCAUGCACUUGAAGCCACAUAGCCCCAGUUUGAAACUGACUCCAUUGCUUACUAUCAGUAUGAUCUUGGACAAGUUACUAACCUCUGCCUCAGUUUCCUCAUCUGUAAAGUGCGGAUAGCAAUCAUUGUCAUCGCAUCACAGGACUCUAGUCGGGGACUAAAUGAGUUAACACAUGUAAAGCACCAAGGACAGUGCAAAGCAUACAGUAAGCCCUUGAUAAGAUAAGGAAAUGAGGCUCAGAGAGGAGGAGCAACCUCCCCAAGGUCACUCAGGGAAUUGGCAAACUGAAUUGGAUUUGAUGAAAAAAGAAAAGAGGUUACUGCCUCUUGGAAAUUUUGACUAAUAACUGUUUUUGCCUGUGUUACAUCAUCCUCGCUGAACACUUGGAGAGGACCCUAAUGUAGAAGUCAGAGCAGUGCAUUCUGGUGCGGGCACACCUCUCACUGAUGGUGGCCCUAGUUUUGGGCUGGAUGGGCUCUGGAAUUCCUGUCGGUACUGACAUCUUAUAAUUCAAAAUCAGGGUUUGCACUCUCCAUUCAAGCCCAGGAUUUAUGUACUUAUAACUGUAAGAGAUAUUGUCAAAUUGCUUGCUUUUUAAAAAAUGUUGAACCGACUUACUCUCACCAACACUGGUUAUUGUAAAUUGUUUACAUUCUUCUGUCAAUCAAAUAAGUUAAAAAUAGUAUUUCAUUUUGGUUUUAAUUUUGCAUUCUCCUUAUCGUUGGGCAAAAUCAAGCAUCUUUUUGUAUGUUUAUGGGUCUUUUAUACUUCUUCAUCUGUGAUUUGUGUUCCUAUAUUUUGCUUAUUUCUUAUGAGACUUUUUCUAAUUAAUUUAUAGAAACUCUAUGCUUAUUGGUGAUAUUCACAUUUUGUCUGUGAUGUAUGUUGCAAACAUUUUGUAGAGUGACAAGCAGAAUGGUCCACUGAUGACUCCAGAACCCUUCUCAUGUUGCCUGCUUGAGAUGAGAGCUCCUUCUUCCUCCUAGUUGGAGUGGCUGUGACAAACCCAAGUUUGCUCUGGACAGAGGGCUCUCCUUUUUCAAAUAUGUUUGCUCCCAUGUUCUGACUGUUUAUUUCCUGUAUGUAAAGCCACUCCAAGCUUACACAAUUAAAAGAUGAUGAACCAGGGUGGGGAGGCCUGGGCUGCUCCCCUGGAUCACAAUGGGUUAUACCUCAUGCUGCC
ensembl:lncRNA